rnacentral:lncRNA from 1 species
GACUCCACAUGUGAUAACAGGUGAUGAGUGACGGUUCACAUCUCAAAGGUGGAGGCCCCCAGCUUCUACUCCUACUCCCAGACCUCUGGCCACCUCUGAACUUCUCAUGGAAGUUCCCUUUCCCCAGGAAAAAAGGAAAAGUAUCUUCUAGUCACACUCUUGGGCUGACCAUUCUGCAAAUGGAACUGUUCUCAGAUGUAAGAAGAAUUUGGCAACCAUUAUCGAGGGAGUCUGGAGGUGAACUGUUUGAUGGCUCAUUUGCAUAGCACUAAAAUUCCUGAUGGUAAUGACAAAUACUGGGUCACCUGGAGGAUGGUAAAUGAGAGCCUGGAAACAGAUAGUAGAACUGAAGGCAGGGGUGGUAGGAACCUCAAGAGGUUUUGGCAUCAAAGCUGGAGACUAAUGAACUGAAAUCAGCCCUGGAGAGCUAGGAGAAUUUGGACGCUGCUUUCUUGUUUACAGUAGAUGAAGGGUAGGAAGCCGUGGGGUGUCAUCUGAAGCCCUGGUAUUGGCCAGGUGGCCAUAAUGAGGGGCCAGGCCUGUCAGAAGUUACUGAGUGCUGCAGUAAGAUUCAUUUCUCUAAAGAGCUGCAGGCAACAAGAGUUCCCACAGAAAAACCUGAGGUCCACAGUGUUGUUUUUGGUACCCAAGAAACCUAAACAUCUCACAGAGGGGAUGAAGGCUCAUAAAGAACAUGCUGAUGCAUUACUGUGAUCAUUAAUUCAUUAAUUCUUUCCUUUAUAUCAAGCCAGAGUUGAGGGGCUACUGUUCUCCCCUACUUCCCCAGGAUCAUGGUCAUCGUCAAUGUUCCAGGCAAAUCACUACCAAUCCAUCACUUUGUACUAACAAAGGAAGCUCCCUUCCCAUUCUUGUGGUAGGCAUCGGGAAUACUAAGUCUCUAUUCUCAAGUGAGAACAGUCUAAGAUAUGAAAUAGUCUUUGAUGGGAGCUCAGAAAAGGAGAACCUCACUAGAUCUGGAAAGAUAGAAAAUGACUCCUCAGAGGUCAUUCUUCUAUGAGGCAAAAGCUCUUGGAGACAGGUAUUUCCUAGGAAGGAAGUCUGCAAAACGCAAAUAAAUCACUUAAGAUAAAGUAAACCUACUUUUCA